rnacentral:rRNA from 1 species
AUGAAACUAAUCGGUUGGAACUGCCGGGGUUUGGGAAAUGGCCCGGCAGUUCAUAGCCUCCUCGAACUGGGGAGGGAGGAGGAGCCCGAUGUUCUUUUUCUUGCGGAGACGAAGAUGUCCGAGAAGGAGUUGGAGAGGUUUAGGUGGAUGCUAGGGGUGGCGCACAUGACAGCGUGGGGCUCGAAAGGGAGGAGUAGGGGGGUACAAUUGUUCUGGAGAAGGGAAGUGGAUGUGUCGCUGAGGUCGUACGGCAUGAGGCAUGUAGACGUGGACGUGCUGGAGGAGGAUGGUGCUACGUCUUGA